rnacentral:rRNA from 1 species
GCAAGUCGAGCGAUCCCUUCGGGGAUAGCGGCGGACGGGUGAGCAACGCGUGGGAACAUACCCAGAGGUACGGAACAACAGUUAGAAAUGACUGCUAAUACCGUAUACGCCCUACGGGGGAAAGAAUUUCGCCUUUGGAUUGGCCCGCGUUGGAUUAGAUAGUUGGUGGGGUAAAGGCCUACCAAGGCGAUGAUGGUUAGCCGUUCUGAGAGGAAGAUC